CGCUGCGCGCACUGAUGAGCGAAUACUGAGAGAGCCGUUUGUGCGGUUACUCGUUCGCGCUACUGCUUCCGGUUCCGCGCCCGGAAGGGGGGAGCGGAGGAGCAGAGGCUGCCGAACACCCAUGUGUUGCUCCAGCUCAUCCAUGAAGAAACAGGCAAAGAAAAUUGUUGUGGUGGAGCCAGUGUCCUUUGAAGACGUGACUGUGCAUUUCAUUGAGGAGGAAUGGGCUCUACUGGACCUGGGUCAGGGAGCCCUCUGCAGGAUGUGAUGCAGGAGAAUUAUGAGUCUCUCAACUGGCUGGAAAUCCCUCUGGCCCGCCAGCAGAAUGGUGCUUCUGUUGUGUCAGUCGCUAAAGUGGGUUGAUGAAUGAAGGGAGCACAGGGCCUUCUGGUUUUGUUUACAGCAGCACUUUAACUCGGCAGCGUGGUUGUGACAAGAGGGCUGGGAGAGAACUCUUCUGAUGCCCUAGACCAGGGGUCAGCAACCUACGGCACACAUGUCACUUAUUUUGAGUGGCAUGUGUGGCUCAACACCCCGCCUCCCCCCUAGGCAGGAGCUGGAGCUUUGCAUUUGCCAAGCAGCUGCAGGCUAGAGCAGUGUUUCUCCCCCUUUUUUUUUUUUUUUUUUUUUUGAAAUAAAGC